UAAUGUUCCAGUUAUUACUUAUUAUUGAAUAAUAAUGUUUUUAUGUAUUGAUUGUAUUAACUAUAGUGUAGUGCUGCUGUUGGGUGUUGUAUCGUUGAUGGCUGGGUCGAUCACUGGUGUACCGAUGUCUCCUUGGUAUGGCGGAUACCUAACCGCAACGCCGCCGCCUUACUACACGACAACAACUUACGCCAAGACCAGUUACUACACCGAAGUACUACACCAGUAAGGCACUGGAGUGUUAUACCACAACUUACGCUGCCACGAGCUUCUACACCGACGCCGCGAAGUGUUACUCUGCCCCGAGUUACUACACCACCAAGGCACCGGAGUACUACACGACUACGUAUGCUUCCCCGUCGUACUACACCGAGGCUUAAAUACUACUCUGUUCCCAGCUACUACACCGAGGCUUCAUCUUAUUAAUCCACCAUAACGGUCGAAUACUACUCCGAAGUGCCAAACUACUACUCUGCCCCGAUCUACACAACCACAAAAGGCGGCCAAGUAUUACGCAGUCCCGACUUACUACACAGAAGCUGCUCCUUCGUACUAAGUUGAACAGAAACACCACACUGAUGCUCCAAUCUAUACCACAACCUAUACACUUAGCUACAACACCGAAGCUCCCAAGUACUACACCGAAGAAGCCGCACUACGCUGCUCCAGUUUACUACACCGAGGAACCAAAGUGUUGCUCUCCUCCAGACUAGUACCAGACUAAGACUCAUAAGUACUACACUAGCAAGGCUCCCGAGUAUUUCCCCACUACUUACGCUGCGCCGACCUAUUCACCGAAGUUUCAACGUAUUCCUCUUCCCUGAGUUACUACACUACUAAGGCACCUGAAGAUUACACCAUAACCUACGCUUCUCCAGAUUUUCCGGUUAUAUUUUAAUAGUUACUUGUCACCGGGAUUUGAUUGUUGAUGCUUAAUGAGAAAAUAAAUAUUUUAAUGCGGGUAAA